rnacentral:rRNA from 1 species
AUUGAACGCUGGCGGCAGGCCUAACACAUGCAAGUCGAACGAGUGGCGGACGGGUGAGUAAUGUCUGGGAAACUGCCCGAUGGAGGGGGAUAACUACUGGAAACGGUAGCUAAUAUCGCAUACCAUCGGAUGUGCCGAGAUGGGCUUAGCUAGUAGGUGGGGUAACGGCGCACCUAGGCGACGAUCCCUAGCUGGGCUGAGGGUAUGACCAGCCACACUGGAACUGAGACACGUCCACGAAUCCGACGGGAGGCAGCAGUGGGGAAUAUUGCACAAUGGGUGCAAGCCUGAUGCAGCCAUGCCGCGUGUAUGAAGAAGGCCUUCGGGUUGUAAAGUACUUUCAGCGAUGAGGCGUUACUCGCAGAAGAAGCACCGGCUAACUCCGUGCCAGCAGCCGCGGUAAUAC